rnacentral:rRNA from 1 species
UGACUGAGCGGCGGACGGGUGAGUAACGCGUGGGCAACCUGCCUUACACAGGGGGAUAACAGUUAGAAAUGACUGCUAAUACCGCAUAAGACCACGGUACUGCAUGGUACAGUGGUAAAAACUCCGGUGGUGUAAGAUGGGCCCGCGUCUGAUUAGGUAGUUGGCGGGGUAACGGCCCACCAAGCCGACGAUCAGUAGCCGACCUGAGAGGGUGACCGGCCACAUUGGGACUGAGACACGGCCCAGACUCCUACGGAAGGCAGCAG